UACGGGGGGGGGCAAGCGUUGUUCGGAAUUACUGGGCGUAAAGGGCUCGUAGGCGGCCAACUAAGUCAGAGUGAAAUCCCUCGGCUUAACCGGGGAACUGCGUCUGAUACUGGAUGGCUAGAGAUUGGGAGAGGGAUGCGGAAUUCCAGGUGUAGCGGUGAAAUGCGUAGAUAUUGGGAGGAACACCAGUGGCGAAGGCGGCUCACUGGACCGGAACUGACGCUGAGGAGCGAAAGCCAGGGGAGCAAAGCGGG
rnacentral:rRNA from 1 species